rnacentral:rRNA from 1 species
ACGUAGGGGGCGAGCGUUGUCCGGAAUGACUGGGCGUAAAGGGCGCGUAGACGGUUUUUUAAGUCUGGAGUGAAAGUCCUGCUUUCAAGGUGGGAAUUGCUUUGGAGACUGGAAGUCUUGAGUGCGGAAGAGGUAAGUGGAAUUCGCAGUGUAGCGGUGAAAUGCGUAGAGAUUGGGAAGAACACCGAUUGCGAAGGCAGCUUACUGGGCCAUUACUGACGCUGAGGCGCGAAAGCGUGGGGAGCGAACAG